rnacentral:rRNA from 1 species
UUAAGCGACUAAGCGUACACGGUGGAUGCCCUGGCAGUCAGAGGCGAUGAAGGACGUGCUAAUCUGCGAAAAGCGUCGGUAAGGUGAUAUGAACCGUUAUAACCGGCGAUGUCCGAAUGGGGAAACCCAGUGCAAUUCGUUGCACUAUCGUUAACUGAAUACAUAGGUUAACGAGGCGAACCGGGGGAACUGAAACAUCUAAGUACCCCGAGGAAAAGAAAUCAACCGAGAUUCCCCAGUAGCGGCGAGCGAACGGGGAGCAGCCCAGAGUCUGAAUCAGCUUGUGUGUUAGUGGAACGGUCUGGAAAGUCCGACGGUACAGGGUGAUAGUCCCGUACACCAAAAUGCACAGGUUGUGAACUCGAAGAGUAGGGCGGGACACGUGGUAUCCUGUCUGAAUAUGGGGGACCAUCCUCCAAGGCUAAAUACUCCUGACUGACC